rnacentral:rRNA from 1 species
GAUGAAUGCUGGCGGCGUGCCUAAUACAUGCAAGUCGAGCGAACGGACGAGAAGCUUGCUUCUCUGAUGUUAGCGGCGGACGGGUGAGUAACACGUGGAUAACCUACCCAUAAGACUGGGAUAACUUCGGGAAACCGGGGCUAAUACCGGAUAAUAUUUUGAACCGCAUGGUUCAAAAGUGAAAGACGGUCUUGCUGUCACUUAUGGAUGGAUCCGCGCUGCAUUAGCUAGUUGGUAAGGUAACGGCUUACCAAGGCAACGAUGCAUAGCCGACCUGAGAGGGUGAUCGGCCACACUGGAACUGAGACACGGUCCAGACUCCUACGGGAGGCAGCAGUAGGGAAUCUUCCGCAAUGGGCGAAAGCCUGACGGAGCAACGCCGCGUGAGUGAUGAAGGUCUUCGGAUCGUAAAACUCUGUUAUUAGGGAAGAACAUAUGUGUAAGUAACUGUGCACAUCUUGACGGUACCUAAUCAGAAAGCCACGGCUAACUACGUGCCAGCAGCCGCGGUAAUACGUAGGUGGCAAGCGUUAUCCGGAAUUAUUGGGCGUAAAGCGCGCGUAGGCGGUUUUUUAGUCUGAUGUGAAAGCCCACGGCUCAACCGUGGAGGGUCAUUGGAAACUGGAAAACUUGAGUGCAGAAGAGGAAAGUGGAAUUCCAUGUGUAGCGGUGAAAUGCGCAGAGAUAUGGAGGAACACCAGUGGCGAAGGCGACUUUCUGGUCUGUAACUGACGCUGAUGUGCGAAAGCGUGGGGAUCAAACAGGAUUAGAUACCCUGGUAGUCCACGCCGUAAACGAUGAGUGCUAAGUGUUAGGGGGUUUCCGCCCCUUAGUGCUGCAGCUAACGCAUUAAGCACUCCGCCUGGGGAGUACGACCGCAAGGUUGAAACUCAAAGGAAUUGACGGGGACCCGCACAAGCGGUGGAGCAUGUGGUUUAAUUCGAAGCAGCGCGAAGAACCUUACCAAAUCUUGACAUCCUUUGACAACUCUAGAGAUAGAGCCUUCCCCUUCGGGGGACAAAGUGACAGGUGGUGCAUGGUUGUCGUCAGCUCGUGUCGUGAGAUGUUGGGUUAAGUCCCGCAACGAGCGCAACCCUUAAGCUUAGUUGCCAUCAUUAAGUUGGGCACUCUAAGUUGACUGCCGGUGACAAACCGGAGGAAGGUGGGGAUGACGUCAAAUCAUCAUGCCCCUUAUGAUUUGGGCUACACACGUGCUACAAUGGACAAUACAAAGGGCAGCGAAACCGCGAGGUCAAGCAAAUCCCAUAAAGUUGUUCUCAGUUCGGAUUGUAGUCUGCAACUCGACUACAUGAAGCUGGAAUCGCUAGUAAUCGUAGAUCAGCAUGCUACGGUGAAUACGUUCCCGGGUCU